AUGAGUCGACCUAAUGGCAUCAAUAUCCCCGAUGGAAAGUUCUUCCUAGGAGAUGGAGGCUAUGCAUGUCCAGGUGUUCUUCCACCCUUUAAGAAAACUAGCUACCAUCUGAACAAGUUGGAUAGAAACUAUCUUAGGACUCGACAAGAACUGGUUAAUCUCAGUGGCUCCAGCCUUACAGUUAUGAUUAAGAGGGCAUUUGGAGCUCUGAAGAAUUGGUAUAAGAUCCUGGACCAGAAGCAAUUCCACUUCCCCACCCAAGUUAAGCUUAUUCUUGCUUGUUGCAUUCUGAAUAACUGGAUUCUACAGUGGAGUUGUGAUGAACUGGUGCCGGAGGAGGAAGAGGUGACACCUAAUAAUGUUGUCAGCUCUGACCAUGGUGUGGGGGCAUUUGACAAUGAAACCUGAAAGAUAAAAGGAUGGAAUGGGCACACGGAAUGUGGGAAAACAAGGGUCAUACAGGGAUUCAAGAAGAAGAAGAAGAGCAAGAGCAAUAGCUAA
rnacentral:rRNA from 1 species